GGGCGUAAAGGGUGCGUAGGUGGUCUUUCAAGUCGGUGGUUAAAGGCUACGGCUCAACCGUAUUAAGCCGCCGAAACUGGAAGACUUGAGUGCAGGAGAGGAAAGUGGAAUUCUCAGUGUAGCGGUGAAAUGCGUAGAUAUUGAGAAGAACACCAGUAGCGAAGGCGGCUUUCUGGACUGUAACUGACACUGAGGCACGAAAGCGUGGGUAGCAAACAGGAUUAGAUACCCUGGUAGUCCACGCCGUAAACGAUGAGUAUUAGGUGUCGGGGGUUACCCCCCUCGGUGCCGCAGUUAACGCAUUAAAUACUCCGCCUGGGGAGUACGCACGCAAGUGUGAAACUCAAAGGAAUUGACGGGGACCCGCACAAGUAGCGGAGCAUGUGGUUUAAUUCGAAGCAACGCGAAGAACCUUACCUAAGCUUGACAUCUCUCAGAUCGGUAGUUAAUCCUACCUUCCCUUCGGGGCUGAGAUGACAGGUGGUGCAUGGUUGUCGUCAGCUCGUGUCGUGAGAUGUUGGGUUAAGUCCCGCAACGAGCGCAACCCUUGUCUUUAGUUGCCAGCAUUAAGUUGGGCACUCUAGAGAGACUGCCAGGGAUAACCUGGAGGAAGGUGGGGAUGACGUCAAAUCAUCAUGCCCCUUAUGCUUAGGGCUACACACGUGCUACAAUGGGUGGUACAGAGGGUUGCCAAGCCGCAAGGUGGAGCUAAUCCCUUAAAGCCAUUCUCAGUUCGGAUUGUAGGCUGAAACUCGCCUACAUGAAGCUGGAGUUACUAGUAAUCGCAGAUCAGAAUGCUGCGGUGAAUGCGUUCCCGGGUCUUGUACAC
rnacentral:rRNA from 1 species